rnacentral:rRNA from 1 species
CAUCUUUUCUUGUUAGUUUUUGAAGUAUGGCCUGCCCACUGACUUAGAGUUGAAGGGCCGCGGUAUUUUGACCGUGCAAAGGUAGCAUAAUCAUUAGUUCUUUAAUUGUGAUCUGGUAUGAAUGGCUUGACGAGGCAUAAGCUGUCUUAGAAGUAUUGAUUUAUUGAAUUUGGUUUUUGAGUUAAAAUUCUUAAAUGUUUUUAUGGGACGAGAAGACCCUAUAGAGUUUGACAAUUUUCCUAUUUAUUCGUUGUUUGUUUUAUUUACAUUGAGUGGGAGUGAAUUGUUUUGUUGGGGUGAUGGGAGGAAUAUUGUUUAACUCCUCUUUAUUUUUAUAUAUUUAUGUAUAUAUUUUUGAUCCAUUUAUUUUGAUUAUAAGAUUAAAUUACCUUA